UACAGAGGGUGCAAGCGUUAAUCGGAAUUACUGGGCGUAAAGCGUGCGUAGACGGUUAUUUAAGUCGGGUGUGAAAGCCCCGGGCUCAACCUGGGAAUUGCAUUCGAGACUGAAUAGCUAGGGUGCGGAAGAGGGAAGCGGAAUUUCCGGUGUAGCGGUGAAAAUGCGUAGAUAUCGGAAGGAACACCAGUGGCGAAAAGCGGCUUCCUGGUCCAGCACCGACGUUCAGGCACGAAAGCGUGGGGAGCAAACAGG
rnacentral:rRNA from 1 species